AGCAAUAGCAAGAAAUCUUCAAUUACACAGUAUUGUGCAAUAGCAAGAAAUCUUCAAUUGCACAGUAUUGUGCAAUAGCAAAUAUUUUCAUUUGCACAGUAUUGCACAAUAGCAAGAAAUAUCUAAUUGCACAAUAUUGUGCAAAAGCAAGAAAUUCCAAUUGGAUUUCAAUUGGAGUUAUCUUUCUUUGUCCAGAAUAGUAGUUGAAUCAACUUAAAUCAUUGUUUUAUACAAUAUACAAUGUAUAUUCACUUUUACUACCAACUGAUAGAUUAAAACAAUCUUUACCAUUCAGUAAUAACAAGCACUUUUUUUACAUUUUAAUAUUUUAUGAUGUAUUUAAAUGAGUAGUUAUUGUUGCAAACUUCAUUAGAAAUUUGAAUUGAGAUCAGUUUUUGAAAUAAGGGAAAGGGGGAUGUGAAAAAAAAAAUUGGGGGGUCAAUUUUUUUCAUUUCAGAUUUCAUAAAUAAAAAGAAAAUUUCUACAAACAUUUUUUUGAGAGGAUUAAUAUUCAACAGCAUAGUGAAUUGUCAAAGGCAAACAUAUUUUUUUUAAGUUCAUUAGACCACAUUCAUUCUGUGUCAGAAACCUAUGCUGUGUCAACUAUUUAAUCACAAUCCAAAUUUAGAGCUGAAUCCAGCUUGAAUGUUGUGUCCAUACUUGCCCCAACCAUUCAGGGUUCAACCUCUGCGGUCGUAUAAAGCUGCGCCCUGCGGAGCAUCUGGUUCUUAUUU
rnacentral:lncRNA from 1 species